GUCAACAUGAUUUGUCUGCACAGAUUGCUGUUUUCCUCCACGCAACGUGCCACCAACACUGCGUCCGAAGUUCCGACUUUUUCACAGACGUGAUGGACCACAGUGACCAAACUACACAC